AGCCACAUCACAUUGAAAUGCCAGUUCCCGUAUGACCACUGAAGUUAAGCCAAGUCGAGCCUCGUCAGUAUCUAAAUGGGUAACCACUUGGGAAUACCAGGAGCUGUCAG